CAUAAUCUCUGAGGAGAAAAGCAGGGGAUCGCAAGACCUUGCGCUUUUGGAGCGGCCGAUGUCUGAUUAGCUAGUUGGUGAGGUAAAGGCUUACCAAGGCUUCGAUUAGUAGCUGGUCUGAGAGGACGACCAGCCACACUGGGACUGAGACACGGCCCAGACUCCUACGGGAGGCAGCAGUGGGGAAUUUUGGACAAUGGGGGCAACCCUGAUCCAACCAUGCCGCGUGAGUGAAGAAGGCCUUCGGGUUGUAAAGCUCUUUCAGCCGGAACGAAACGGUCACGGUUAAUAACUGUGAUCACUGACGGUACCGGAAGAAGAAG
rnacentral:rRNA from 1 species